GCGCCUGUAGCUCAAGCGGAUAGAGCAACGGAUUUCUAAUCCGUAGGUUGGGUGUUCGAGUCACCCCAGGCGCG
rnacentral:tRNA from 1 species